CUCUCUGUUUUCUUUACUAUCUCUCUUUGUUGUUUUAAAUUUUAUAUUUUAGAGGGUUCCCCCUCCCCCUUGGCUAGGCAUAUUCCAAGUUAUUUAUUUACUUGAGGCUAUUGUGAAAGGUGUUGAUUUCCUGAUUUCUUUCUCAGUCCUUUUAUCUUUGGCAUAUAGGAAGGCUACUAAGCCCAAACAUCUUUAUUCUUUUUAAUUUUAAAUGUAUGAGUGUUUUGCCUGCAUGGGACUGGAGUUAUGGGGAGUUGUUGGUCGCUAUGUGAGUGCAGGGAACCAAACCUGGCUCCUUUGGAAGAGGAGUAAGUACCCUUAACCACGGAGACAUCUUUCCAUAUAUAGCCCAGAUAUUUGUAAAUACCUCGCUAUGCAUCCAGACUCCUUUCUAUAUAGUUUUAAUAAAAAGAGAGGAUAUUAGGGUAUGAUCAGAAGACAGGGAGUCAGUGGGAUGGAAUUUUCCCCUUUCAAUGAUCAGAGUUUCAAACAUAUUUGUAUGUAGGAAGGAAUAAACCUAUGGAGGAAAAAUUAUAUGAAACCAACCUGGAAGUAUGAUGGAAAAUUAAAUGAGACCAAGCUGGAAGCUGAGAUCCCAGAGGACCCCAGAAAAAUGGAAUCAGAAGCAAUUUUGGAGAUCAUUGUCUUAUAUCCAGACAGAGACUCGAAUCUACAAGAAAGAAGGCCAACAUUUCAGAGACCAGAAAACGAGCUGAUACUACAGUCUUAAGUCGAAAGAGUCUGGAAAUCAUACUUCUUUUUGGUGGAUGCCAGUCUUUUCUUUCAAACCCUUCAGUUGACUCCAUGAAGGUUGCCCACAUCACGAAGGUUGUUACCUGGAGGUAUUGGCCAGAUUUAGACUGGAUCUUCUGACCUCAAAUGAUCCAGUCAAGAAAAUCCUUCAUGGGCAUGCCCAGUUGUUCGGGUACUAGUUGAUUUCAGAUUCAAGUCUACUACCAAGAUUAGCCAUCACAUCCCCCAGC